rnacentral:lncRNA from 1 species
UUCUUGAAAGCUUUGCCAUGGUUCUAUUGUAUUCCCACCACUUGUUCCAUUUCUCCAUGUAGUUAGCCUUUUCCUAACCUUCUCUUUUUGUCUGAAAUUUAAGCGUUGUAGCAGUAGCAGAUACAGUUUCUUUUCACAGGGAUUACCUCAAAGAAUAGGAUUACAGCCUCAAAGGACUUUUAAUGGGAUUAGAGAGCGUGCACCUGGACAGUUACCAUACAGAAUCCGCUUUGUAUUUGCUCUGUUUGACACUUGUCUUAGUGCUAGGCUUAGCCCUAGCCAUAGGUUGGACCCUUGUGGUGCCCCAACUUUUCCCUCGGAUAUACAAAUGUAACACUUAAAUGCUGUAUCAGGAAUUGCAAAGAAGUUAAAGACGAGAGAAUCUGAUUAUUUUGAUGAAUGUUGCUAUUCAAACCCUGCCUUUGAAAAUGGUUGUGCAUGGGAGAACAAACAGAUGAUUACCAUCGGAUGUGAUAUUUGGGACUGGUAUUUUUACCAGCAUAAGCUUUCAGAGAUUAUUGUGGUAAUAUGCAAUGUUUGCAAUGCAACUCUUAUACUACUUCACUGUAAAUUC